UUUAAAGUGCAUUGUUUUACAUUUACCACUGUAAGCAAGUGCAGCACUUUAUGGAGUUUAAGCACAACUGUGUAGUGCACAUAUCUAUAAUGCUGAAGAUUUGCAACUUUUAUUAGUAAUUUUUAAAUACAAUAUAGAAGCAACUAAAACUGUAUCCUCUGGGAACUCCAAUUCUGUCCCAUAAUUAAAAGACAUGUGAUUACUUUGACUGGCAAGUCUUCAAUGACUCAAAGUUCUACAUUAGAGUAAAGAAAAACAGCUGUAUAACACCAAGGGCCAAGGAUGAACUGGCUAGCCUGUGCACCUGGCAGAGGACCUGAUGUGUUCUACCAAUAUAUCUUCUGUGCCAGCUGAAGAGGGCAAGCCUUCCACACUCAAUCCCCACCAUAUUGUAUAGGAGCACAACUGAAAGUGACCUACUAGUUGCACAAUUGUCUGGUAUGGGAACUGUAAUGCAUCUGAUUGCAAGUCCACACAACACACUGUUGAGACCAUCUGGAAUUCUCUCCCAUUCAUCAUGGACAUGUUCACAAAACACUGCAUCUGUAAGACCCUCUGCAUUUUGGGCAAUUUCUCCCACAAUCUCUUUUCCUUGUUUUUUUCCAGCAGAAGGUAUUGGAUCCUGCAGAACAACAUUGCCAAAUUGAACAACAGCUUCUUCCCACAUGCAGUCAGGCUCCUGAGCACAAUUUUACCCUAUGUCCCUGUGUGUGCCCCAUUAUCAUAGGCUCAUUUCUAAUUACCGUUCUGUUCUGCAUUCACUUGUAUUCCUUGUCCAUUGUACUUCUCCUAUCAUUACUGAUUGCUGUUUUGUCAAUAUGAUGAUUUGUGCAGAUGUUGUUCCUUGUUCUUUAUUCCCUUAUAUAAAAUUACUCACCCCUCUG